AAUUACAAUAUCUGGGGUGCAGCAGGCGACCGAAUACCUAAGCCAUGCACGAAAGUGUGACAGAGGCGCAUUCCACGUGCAAGCUGUGCUUGCUUUUCCCAAGUCCAAAACGCUUGGGGAAUAAGGGCUGGGCAAGACCCGUGCCAGCCGCCGCGGUAACACGGGCAGCUCUAGUGGCGUUCGCGAAUAUUGGGCCUAAAGCGUACGUAGCCGGCCAAGUAAGUUCCUGGUGAAAUGCAUGCGACUUAAUCGUGUGAGUUGCCAGGAAAACUGCUCGUGCUUGGGACCGGAAGAGGUCGGAGGUAUUCUCAGGGGUAGGGGUAAAAUCCAGUAAUCCUUGAAAGACCAUCGGUGGCGAAGGCGUCUCGACUGGGACGGGUCCGACGGUGAGGUACGAAAGCUAGGGGAGCGACCCGGAUUAGAUACCCGGUUAGUCCUAGCCGUAAAUGUAUGUGCUGUUUGGUAUUGCACUUCUCCUCACGCAGGGUAUUU
rnacentral:rRNA from 1 species